GUGCACCAGGCGCGAAACCUCCGCAAUACACGAAAGUGUGACGGGGCCAUCCCGAGUGCCGUCCGCUGAGGACGGCUUUUCCCCAGUGUACACAGCUGGGGGAAUAAGGAGAGGGCAAGCCUGGUGUCAGCCGCCGCGGUAAUACCAGCUCUCCGAGUGGUGGGGACGCUUAUUGGGCCUAAAGCAUCCGUAGCCGGCUGGGCAAGUCCUCCGUUAAAUCCAACGAUUCAAUCGUUGGGCUGCGGGGGAUACUGUCCAGCUUGGGGGCGGGAGAGGCCGACGGUAUUCCCGGGGUAGGGGUGAAAUCCUAUAAUCCCGGGAGGACCACCAGUGGCGAAGGCUGUCGGCUAGAACGCGCCCGACGGUGAGGGAUGAAAGCUGGGGGGAGCGAACCGGAUUAGAUA
rnacentral:rRNA from 1 species